CAGAGGUGGCAAGCGUUGUUCGGAAUUACUGGGCGUAAAGGGCGCGUAGGCGGCCUUCUAAGUCGGACGUGAAAGCCCCAGGCUUAACCUGGGAACUGCGUCCGAUACUGGGAGGCUUGGAUUCGGGAGAGGGAUGUGGAAUUCCAGGUGUAGCGGUGAAAUGCGUAGAUAUCUGGAGGAACACCGGUGGCGAAGGCGGCAUCCUGGACCGAGAUCGACGCUGAGGCGCGAAAGCUAGGGGAGCAAACGGGAUUAGAUACCCCGGUAGUCCUAGCCCUAAACGAUGAGUGCUUGGUGUGGCGGGUAUCGAUCCCUGCCGUGCCGAAGCUAACGCAUUAAGCACUCCGCCUGGGGAGUACGGUCGCAAGGCUG
rnacentral:rRNA from 1 species